rnacentral:rRNA from 1 species
GUACGGGGGGGGGCAAGCGUUGUUCGGAAUUACUGGGCGUAAAGGGCUCGUAGGCGGCCAACUAAGUCGGAUGUGAAAUCCCCAGGCUCAACUUGGGAACUGCAUCCGAUACUGGAUGGCUUGAAUUCGGGAGAGGGAUGCAGAAUUCCAGGUGUAGCGGUGAAAUGCGUAGAUAUCUGGAGGAAUACCGGUGGCGAAGGCGGCAUCCUGGACCGACAUUUGACGCUGAGGAGCGAAAGCUAGGGGAGCAAACGGG